CCCUAAUCUGCAUAAUUCCAUUAAGGCUGCUGAGACCCAUUGCAGCUUCAAUGUCAGUGACUUUGGCCAGGAGACACGGAGCAAACAAACACGGCACGAUCGUCCUCCUGGUCCGCAAGAUAUGAUUCAACAAAAAUUCAAGCAAGAGGUGUUUGCCAAACCUCAAGAAGAAAUGUUGACCAUCCAAGUUAAAAAUACCACGUUGCAUCUGAAUGGGCAAAACCUCCGACUGGCAGCUAAAAAUGGCCGCAAUUCAAAAACACCUGGCCUCCAUCUGUCAGCCACACAUGGAAAGGAGGCACUGGGUCAGCUUACGGUCUCCUCGCCGACCCAGGAGGGCACAGCACAGUUGGACUUGUUGGUGCUCAAGUCAGCCAGGCCUGACUCAAAGAGGCAGGCAGAGAAUCAGCCCAUGAGACGCCCCUUGAAGCUUGCCCCUCUGCAGCUGCCAGAGGAGGUGAUGGAGGCUCAGAGGCAGAAACUCCAGCAAGAAGCCAAACCUGCUUCCUGUAAGCUAGAUGAGCCCAGAACAAGGACUGUGAAAUCCUGCGUGAGGCAGACACCAGUUAAAGCAAAAGUGGGCCCUUCUGUUUCCACUGAGCCACUCAAAGCCCAACAGCAAAACAGAUCCUCCAGGCCCCAGCUGACACGCUGCAUCCCCAUAGAGCAGAACGGAGGCAAGAAUCUGGAGGACGUGGUGUGUCGAGGUACCCCAGCUCCAAUGUGCAGCAAACCUGCCCCUCCUUUGCUUUCUCAGCGAAUUAAAGCUCAGGCCACACGUGGCGGCGGGACGGCAUGCCAGCACCCCGGCACCCUGCAGCAAGAGACGGGGAGGAGGCGGCUGAGGCUGAGCAGAGCACAAUGCCUCCAAGAGGAUCAGUGCAAUUCAAACCCAUCAACAGGAGGAUUACCUGCAGAUGAAGGCAAACUGGCCCCGGGUGUCCAAGGCAAAGGGCAGCAGGCAGAGAGGGUUUGGAGAGGCCAGACACAUGCAGGAAAAGUCAUUAAAGAGAUUCCUGGACCUGGAACUCCCUGGGAGCAUGGAAGUGCCAGGAAGAGCCAUCAGGAAGGAGGCAGUCAGCAAUCUGCAGGAUGCUCUCUGAACCACCAGUCGGCCGAAGCUGGAAGCAGUGAAUGUCUGCUUGAUGGUGUUAACCAAAGUGCUUCUAAUUGGAGAUUAAAGAGGAGAAAACCCUUGAUCGCAAAGCACAACAAUGUAGUUCAUCUGGGACGUCUCCAACUGUGAUUAAAUUGCAGCUUGGAAACUCACAAAAUGAUGUCAUACAUAGAGACACACUUGUCAUGGCCACACUCAACAGAAACAGGCUCAUGUUGCAGUUUGGAAGCUCUUAGUAUUCUACUAAACAGUGAUAAAAGAACCAAACAAUGUAAUUUCCUCAUCAGAUGAAAAAAAAUAACACAUGUAGGAAUGAGAAAAUGCUUUCUAAAGCUGUGCAAUUAUAGACUGCUUUUAAAUUAGUUCUUUUUAUGAGCUUAAAUGUCUAAAAUCUGCAAAAGCAGCUUUGUUCUUUUUAAUGACAACAUGAGUAAAUAAAGCCAGUCCUAGAAAAGGCACCUCAUGAAAUCUCAGUGUCUGGCCAAAAGCCAAAGAACCCUCAACUUCAUUAAUAGUCGGGAGCAGUUUCUCUUGUGCUCCCAAAAUAGAAAAUAAAUAAAUAAAAAGACUGAACAGCAUUUCAUGUGCCAGGUUACUUUAAGUUAUGGACUGUCCCAUUUCCAAAAGCUAUUCCCCAGAUCAGAGUGUGCACUGAUUCAAUUAGGUGAAGCAGCCAUGGCACAAAGCAACGCUUCUGGCACAUCACAAGAGGAGCAAAAUCACUGUAGUCGAACCAAGAUAAUGGGACAGCAGAUAUUUCUUGCAAAGGCAAAAAUCAUCUGGGAAAUGAUCAGAAAUUAAGGAGUGUGUAGGAUGUUUUCUGACCUGAGAUCAGUGGUUGUUAUUACAUGGAAAUUUCAAGUAUAGAGCUCCUUUCCAUUGGUUGAAAAAUUAUCAUUACAAUGGACACAAUGUGAAUGUAUAUACAGUAUAAUAAAUCUGAGACCCAAAUGACUAGUUUUCUCUUUUGCCCCAAGUGUACAAAUAAUAAACUAAACUAUUAAAAAUGUAAUUUGUCUUUUAUAAGAAAUCUUUUGAGUAUUUCCGCUUUCCUAAUUAAAAUAUAGCUUACAGGGGUUUCUGAAUGCCAGUGGAGUUUUUGUUGUUGUUUGAUGGACCUCUUCCGCUCUGCUUAAUGUGGCC
ensembl:lncRNA